AGCAAUGAUCUCAAGGCAGUAAUUUUUAGUGUUUUCAUCCAUUUGGACAGUUUACUCAUCCAUUUCUUUGCAGGGUAGUCCGUUAACCUGCAAAGAUUGGUGUUCUCUCUUGAGUCAUCUCUUCCCAGCAGCUUUCGAUGUAUAUCCUUCUCUCAUCAGAUACAAUAGAAUUAGACUUAGUCCGCAUUUUGAUAUUGUGCUUUCUCAGGUGUUUUGUCGCAAUUUUACAAAGUAUUGUUGUAGUUCUAUUUUCCUUUCCUUCUAUUUCUGGUUCUUUCAUAGAUGGGUCGCUGCCUUGAAUUUACUUUUAUUUGCAUGAGUGUAGUUGCUCUUUCAUUCCUUUCAUAAUUAAUUUCAGGAGGAGUAAAAAUUAAUUUUAUUCUCAAUUUAAUUGGAAUUGCAGGAAACAGAUUACUCUUGAUGUGGCCUCCGCAGCAGGCUUGGAUUUCCGGGUGAAGGCAUACUCAUCCUAUGCCAAAGCUUCAAUUAUGGCAAGUUUCCUACUUCAUCACUUCCUCUUAUGACUGUCCAGGCCAAGUAAGCGCUCAGACUGAUUUUUUCAGGGGUGAACUAAGUUUUCAUCUAUUUGGAUUCAUAAUGUGUGUCGGUGCAACAGCUGCAAGAGCACUCAAGUCAGUGCUUCAGGGGAUUUUGCUGUCCUCCAAAGGGUAAUAGACAUUUGAUAAUGGAAUAAUGAUCAGAAGUAGAUGCUCUCAAUGACAGAAAAAAUUUAUAGUUUUGGGACUUCCAUAUUCACGAUAUGCUGCUAAAGAUAUCGCCAUCGUCAAGAGCAUAAUACAGAUAGGUUAAAGGAAUUAUGCAGAUACGUAUGGACAGAGGAAACUGUUUUUUGGAAUAAGGUCCCAUUUUGGGUGGACAGGCACAUCUACCAGACUUUGGUUUCUUUAAAUGAAGUUUGAAGUACGUUUUGCUCCACAGUGUACCACUUAAGGAGUGUAGUUAUUUGAUUAAGUUCCUCUUCAAUGUUCCUAAAGAAAAUUUACAUUUAUAGCUUGAUCAUGUCUGAUUGCAACAUCAUUCAAGACUAGCAAAAUUCGUAGUUCUUUUUUAUCCAUUCAAGAUCAAUAAGUUCAUAAUUUCCAUU